AUGUAUAGCAAAAAAUAUCCUAGCAAUAUAUCUUUGCCUUAAAGGUGAAAACUAUGGUUGAAUAAGAAAUAGACUAAUUAAAGAUGAUGAGUACUUCCUUAGAAAAUGGCAUAUGCAUGUUCUUAAAACUAGUUCUAGUGCCCGUGCUAACGCACGGGAAACACCGUCUUGUAGUAAUUUCGUACAUGUUCUUAAAAUAUGGAUGAAUUAUCUUUUAAGGGACUAAUUAAUAAGAUGGCAUGUGUGAAUUGAAGAGAUUUCCUCUUAAAAAGGAAACUUUGUAGAACUUAGAAGUGUGUGAAGGGAGAUGAAGAAUUUAAGAUGAUAAAGAAACUUGAAUUUCAAGAAUGGUGCAAUCUAAUUCAAUUAGUUGCUUACAAGAGAUCAUUUGUGUUCUAAAUACCACCUAGAG
rnacentral:lncRNA from 1 species